rnacentral:pre_miRNA from 1 species
ACUGUGUGUGGAUGGUGUUCAGCACCAAGGGUACAGGUGUGUUUCACUGUGUGUGGAUGGUGUUCAGCAUUAAGGACAGGUGUGUUUCAGC